UAAAAAUAAUGUGGAUGUAAAUAGUAUUUUUUAAAAAUUUUAAAAUUUUAUUAGGGAUAAUUUAGAGGGGGGAUUUACUUGGAAAAAUCGUUGAUGGAAAUAACUGUACCCAUGGAUUUUCCUAUGAGACAACAAGGGUUCUCCAAAUCGAUUCUUUUUCCUACAUGAUUUCUGAUUUUUUGUUGAGUAUUUCUUUGUUGUUGCAUUUUUUGAGGUAUUUACUUUAGGAUUUGUUUGUUUCUUCUGUUACUUUAUUUUUAUGUAAGAAGAUCUAAGUUUUGAAUCGAAGGUUUGGGGAAGAAGGGAUUUUCUGCGAGAAAGCAAACGGGUUAGCAAGUGUACUCCACAUCAGUUAUUUUUCUACAUGAUUUUUGAUUUUGUUGGAUAUUUUUCUUCGUUGUUGCAGUUCUUGAGGUACUUUGUUCAAGAUUUAUUUUUCUCACGAUUUUCAUAAUUUCUCUUUUCGUUGUCUAUACAGAAUCAUUUGACGGGAUUGAUAUUAUAUUUGUAGAUAUUAUGUUCUCACUAACCGUGUUUGUCGAAGUAUUCUUAUCCAAAAUGAGAGUUGAUCAUUUAUUUUUUUCUGAUUUGUAAAAAAAUGUUAUUUAUAAUGUUUUGGAAAAAAAAUAUAAGGUGCUAAAAAAUUGCUGCUAUUGAAUAGUUUCUUUGUUCUAGAAGUUUUAAACCUCAGUUUAUAAUGUAUUUGCCCAAAACAGAAAGAAAAAAUAUGGCACAUGAAACCUAUAACUUCACCACGAGCCAGACCCAUUUGUGUUUCAUCUUAACUGUCAAAACAAGCUUAGGAAAUGCCAUUUAAGCUUCAGCCUUUUUGAUUAAUUUUCUCCUUUAAACUCUCUUAGCAUUUGAGCAAAAAAUUCUUUGUUGCUCUUAUAGAACCCAGGGUUGAAACAGAGAUCAAGGUUACUAUUUCAAGGGUCGGUCCUUGUUAUGAAAGACCUCAAGUCUAGCUACAUUUGGAUUCCUCUUCGACAGAAUUGAAUAAAGGCCAGACUACUGAAGAUACUGUGUUAUGACUAUGAGGUUCUCUUUUCUUUCUUCCUACAACUCGUCUUUAUGUUACAAGAGGGGAAGAGGAUGCUGAUUUUCUUUUAUAAAAACUUGUUAUUUUUUUACUUUGGCUUGGAUAGUUACAUAUUUAUGUGUAUGAAGAUAUCUGGUCUGCACUUAGAACAAAGCAUUUGAUAUUUUUUGUUUUACAUUUAGUACACUAUGAGUGCAAAUCAUUGUCUAAUUUUUCUGAAUAUCAAGACAAACACCUCAGAUGUGCUGGAUACUGUGCAGAUUGAAACAUGUCUACAGUAGAUUAUUUCA